UACGGAGGGGACUAGCGUUGUUCGGAAUUACUGGGCGUAAAGCGCACGUAGGCAGAUUUGUAAGUUAGGGGUGAAAUCCCGGGGCUCAACCUCGGAACUGCCUUUGAUACUGCAAAUCUCGAGUCCGGAAGAGGUGAGUGGAAUUCCUAGUGUAGAGGUGAAAUUCGUAGAUAUUAGGAAGAACACCAGUGGCGAAGGCGGCUCACUGGCCCGGUACUGACGCUGAGGCGCGAAAGCGUGGGGAGCAAACAGG
rnacentral:rRNA from 1 species